rnacentral:rRNA from 1 species
UAGGGCCUACGGGAGGCAGCAGUAGGGAAUCUUCCACAAUGGACGAAAGUCUGAUGGAGCAACGCCGCGUGAGUGAAGAAGGGUUUCGGCUCGUAAAGCUCUGUUGGUAGUGAAGAAAGAUAGAGGUAGUAACUGGCCUUUAUUUGACGGUAAUUACUUAGAAAGUCACGGCUAACUACGUGCCAGCAGCCGCGGUAAUACGUAGGGGGCAAGCGUUAUCCGGAUUCACUGGGCGUAAAGGGAGCGCAGGCGGCAUGGCAAGUCUGAUGUGAAAACCCGGGGCCCAACCCCG